UCCCUUGUAGCUCAGUCGGUAAAGAAUCUGCCUGCAAUGCAGGAGAUCCAGGUCUGACUCCUGGGUCGGGAA
rnacentral:tRNA from 1 species